UUAACACAUGCAAGUCGAGCGGGCGUAGCAAUACGUCAGCGGCAGACGGGAGAGUAACACGUGGGAACGCGCCCUUCGGUUCGGAAUAACUCAGGGAAACUUGAGCUAAUACCGGAUACGCCCUAACGGGGAAAGAUUUAUCGCCGAAGGAACGGCCCGCGUCGGAUUAGCUAGUUGGUGAGGUAAUGGCUCACCAAGGCGACGAUCCGUAGCUGGUCUGAGAGGAUGACCAGCCUCACUGGGACUGAGACACGGCCCAGACUCCUACGGGAGGCAGCAGUGGGGAAUAUUGGACAAUGGGCGCAAGCCUGAUCCAGCCAUGCCGCGUGGAUGAUGAAGGCCUUAGGGUUGUAAAGUCCUUUUAACGGGGAAGAUAAGACGGUACCCGUAGAAUAAGCCCCGGCUA
rnacentral:rRNA from 1 species